AGUCUGAGGAUGAAAAGGAACAAUUGAAGUACUAUAUGAAGCUAGCACAAUCUCUGCAAUAUAAUUUGAAUCAAGAGAAGAAGAGACAAGGUGAAUUAGAGUAAAAGGUUGCCGGCUUGAAGACACUCUUUCAGAAAACAAGGAUGCUACAUGACAAUCAAAAUGGAGACUUUAGUUUCCUUGGAGAUUUAGAACCCAAUCAAUCUGAAAUGGAUAUUCAGAUGAAUAGGCUAAAACAGAAGGAGCCUCCCCCAGCGGGCAGGAUGCCGAGGAAGCAGUGACCCGGAGAGAGGCGGGAGCGCGGGCGCGGGAAACAAGCAACCAAGCCGGCAAUUGGAAAAAGAGAAAAUCGUGUGGAUAUUAUUGAAAGUGUUCCACAAGACCAAACAAGCAAUGAUAAUUUGACUUGUGUUGAUGGAGCACACCAGAAUAAUUUAAGUGGUAACUUAGUGACUAUCUAUGAAUUCUUUCUUGCUUAAGUGCGGCCAUAAAGAAAUCUAACACGUGUAGAUCCAAAUGUGAUACUCAUUUCUUUUAAGCAUUUUUUUCUCUCUUUUAUCAAAAGU